UGCGAGUUAAGUUGUCUCUCAGUGGGCAGUCUCUACCCACCAGGAUGAAAGGCCUUUUCCUAUUGGUCACUCUCGAUUGAAGUCACAGGUUGACCACGCCCACUCAGUUUACCCGGAAUCCGCUGCACUGCCGCCGCAGUCUGACAGAAGAGCGAGCGAGGGUGCAUCAUGACGAGCAACAGGUCGUGUACUGGGAAGAUUUGGUGUUGAUGGAGGAGGCAACAUCUUCAAGGCAAAACCUUUAGACCUGAUGCAACAUCAUCCAGUGUCAAAAUCACCCUUUAGGAGGCACUUGAAGACCAGUGCCCAAUAUGCACAGGAACAUUUCCAGUGUCAGAAGUAGACCUGCCAUGCCAGCUUUUGUGGAGACAGGCUCUCCAAGGAAGGUGAUUUUCAGGGGAUUGACUGGAAUUCCUGGUUUUUAUGUUUCCACAACUUCAGACGUGUUAUCUCGUGACAGACUUCAGAUGUCUUUGUGGUGUUUAUCUGUGCUGCUGCAUGACGAAUCACAUCCUCCUCACUGUAAAAAUAAAUAAAUAAAAUCAUAUACAUGUAUAUAAAAACAAUAAAGCUAAAUUUUCAGCAUCAUUACUCCAGUCUUAAGUGUCACAAUAUAACAAUAUGCUUUUUUUUUUUUUUUU